UAAAUUCUCUACAAUUUUGUAGGCCUAUACGAUUUAUACACGAUUGCUGUGCGCAACGCUACAGUUUCGAUGGCAACCGAUAUCGUUGUCACAAAAGCAAUUUUAAUUAAGAAUGUAUUUCAAUUGCUUAGUCGAGUUUUUCAGAUAAAAUGAGAGGGAACCAAAUAGGCGGCUUACCGCAGUACUCAGAUGAGAUAAGGAAACACCAAAAAAAUACCAGAUUUCGUGAGUUAAUUCUGAUGAUCGCCGUUAGACGCCUCGCAAAAACGACAUCCGGAGGUGAAAAAGGACGAUUAAUCCAUGAUGUCCAGUAUUGUGGGACUUGACCCACAGGUAGCAAAACCACAACAGGGAAAAUACGCAGAAGAAUGGAAGUGCUGGAGGUAGUCCCAUUGGGAAGCCCAUUAGAAAGGAGCAUGCCGAGUGGGACUUUACUACCGACAUGAACAUCCGGCCGACCGUGUCCUCGCGAAGAAAGUAUGUUCUGGCCAAAAGAUUUUGGUUGGGUUCUACUAAAAACCACCAGUAAUACGAUCUCCGACAAGCUCUCCAUUGGGGAAUCGCUGGACUCCACACCACAAGCUACUUUGCAGCUAAUAGCGUCUUCCCACUGAGAUCCAAGUACCAACCAUUUCGAACGGAUGGACUCUAUGGAGGACGCGCUGGCUUUUGUAUCGGAGGAGGAAAAAAGGCUGAUGCUCUGCUGAAAAAAACGUACGCUGCGCAGAAAGCUUAAGAGUCUGCAUGCCAAGUCCCAACAUUCUAGCUCUUCUACGGACAGACGACUCGGCUAGUGGUCCUGAUCAAGAAUACAUAUACUUGCUUCUACCUGUUACCUUCUUUCCGAAGACUCUCUGUGGAUAGCGAAUUCGGUCAAAGGAUUCCACCCAAUUCCUGUUGGAUUUGUUGGAAGAGAACAUGGAUGGACUUCGGGGUGUUCGGAGGAACACCACCAUAUACCAAGAAAUCGGAGAUAAGAUGGCGAGCUACGGUCCAAGUGCUUUGGAAAGUAGUGUAUGCAUAUAUCAAGAAAACAUUAAAAAUUAUUGUUUUACAGAAACCAACUUUUAAGAGUGGGCCCGUCAGGAGGAACUGCCGCUUCUUGGGAGCAUAAUAUCAUCCUCAAAAGCCAUCAAUUCAAAAGAAUUAAUGAUUUUAAUUAACUUGUAUUUAGCAAAUCUUGAAUUCUGCAAUUCUUUAAAAGGUGUAAAUUUCGUUCGAAAACUGCAGAGGCUUCCAGGAACAUGUGCUCAAGGUUUUCGGGAGAAAAAUUUAUGGGAAUAUUGCUGUGCUUGCGCACUUUGCGCGUUUUAUUUUUGAAAUUUGUUGUAGAGUGUAAGGCCGGAGCGGGAGCGCAAUAAAUCUUUCUUCGCUCUCGCGAAUUCGCUCAUGAGAAA